GGGAGAGCCAAUAUUCCCACCUGCUUCAGACAUGAAUGGUGCUGUAUUGAGCUGCUCCUUUAGCCUGCCCCUGGGAGCCACUGCCACUGACAUCUCUCAGCCUCCCCAGCUGGCAAUAGAGUGAUGCUGCCUGAUCCUGGACUGUGAACAUCCAAAACACGAAGCAAAAUUAGCCUUCUUCCUAUUGAAUUGAAUACACAGAUGACAUCUGUGGAUAUGAAGGGCUGACUGUAUUUGCAGAGGGCAACAGGAGAUAACAACAAAGCUGUAUUCUAAUUCGACUCCUACAUGUCUACAUGGCAGGUGUUUUAGCAGCCAUUGCCUAUGGUUUCUGCAACAGUCGUGGAGAAUGCUCUGAGUUGGGAUCACGUGCCCAACUUGACACCAGUCUUCAAGCCCAGGAAGAUAAGAAUUCUGAGUGACCAGAUCUGGAUUAUAUACCCCUCCCUGAAGUUAGAGCAGGGUUCUAAUGUCCUCAGAACUUAUGGCGUGAGAGUGGAGGAGAGUUGGUUCUCCCAAUACAUGCUAAGCUGACAAAGCCAAACAACUACAUGCAUAGCAUGGGUACCCAAGACUUUCCGGUCACUGACAACCAGAGCUGCAAAUAUUUCAUGUUUUGAAAAGUGACAAAGUGUGAUACUGGGAGAAGUCCUCGUCUACAAAGGAGCAAUUCUGGAUCCCUGUCAUGAUGCUACAGUGUGUGACAACAGGCCUCCCACUAAACCUCCUGGAGCCUCCGUGUCAGUAUAACAAUAGGCCUGAGUUAAUUCUAUACAAGAUCCCUUUCCAUUAAUGACCUAUUGUUUCUAGAGGGAGGAGUUUGACUCCAUGGUUACUUUGUUCUGAUUUCUUUCUUCAGUUUAUGGCAAGCAACCUGUCACAACCAAAAUGCCCUGGAAACUUAAUUGAAAUGAAGAUGAGUUAUAGAAAUGUAAUGUCAGUGUUUCCCUUUUACCUGCUGAGUAUAAUCAUGUCAGAGCUGCCUACAUUUCUUUGCUUCUAAAAAAGCAAAUAUAGAACAGGAGAGGAUCAGAUGAGACUUCAAAAAGCCCAACAAAACAAGACUCUUUCUUUAAAAUUCUACCAUCUGCCUCUUGGGAGAAUCGUACUGAGCUUUUCUCUCCACGCCUGGAUGUGACCCAAAAUGAUUAGAGGGAAAAAAAGUGAUAAUGCAACUAUGGAGACAAUA